GAUAAACGCUAGCGGCAGGCUUAACACAUGCAAGUCGGGGGGCAGCAUAGAUUGUAGCAAUACAAUUGGUGGCGACCGGCGCACGGGUGCGUAACGCGUAUGCAACCUACCCGUCACAGGGGGAUAAUCCGGAGAAAUCUGGUCUAAUACCCCAUAACAUAUGGAUCGGCAUCGGUUCAUGUUGAAAUUUUCGGAGGUGACGGAUGGGCAUGCGUAGCAUUAGCUUGUUGGUGAGGUAACGGCUCACCAAGGCGACGAUGCUUAGGGGGACUGAGAGGUUUUCCCCCCACACUGGUACUGAGACACGGACCAGACUCCUACGGGAGGCAGCAGUGAGGAAUAUUGGUCAAUGGGCGCAACCCUGAACCAGCCAUGCCGCGUGCAGGAAGACGGCUCUAUGAGUUGUAAACUGCUUUUAAACAGGGAUAAAGCACAGUAUGUAUACUGUGUUGAAGGUACUGUAAGAAUAAGGAUCGGCUAGCUCCGUGCCAGCCGCCGCAGUAA
rnacentral:rRNA from 1 species